rnacentral:misc_RNA from 1 species
AAUUAUUUGCAGUUUCUUUUAUUUUCUUUGCAGAGAUUGUCCCUACUGAAAUGAAAUUUGGUAUAGAGAUUUAUCAUAAUAGUAUCUAGUUCAAGUUAAUUUUGGGUACAAUCAACUAAUUUUUGAGUUAUGCACCUCUGACUUUGAAAAAUUCUAUUUAUUUGCAGUUUUUGUUCAUUUUCUUCACAGAUGUUACAAUUAUUUGCAGAUUCCAUUCGUUUUCUUCGCAGAUGUUUCCAAGGGAGGGGGCAUAAGUUUUUACAAACAUCUCUUGUUAAAAAAAUGUUAAAAAUGUAUCUUUCCUUUUAUUUCAGUACUGGUUAAAUUUACUGAGUGAUUUGACAUCUCAGGAAAAGAAAGACUACACUAUUAAUUUAGGAAAGGUGAUGUCCAUCAUUGCUAACUUUGAGGUGUUUCCAGAGCCUGGACCUAGUACCCCAGACUACAAAGCAAUCUACAAAUACAUCUCUGGCAUGUUGUCUGAGAGUGAACUUCCUGACCUUGGAAAGCUAGAAUCAGCUGUCAUUUUGGAUUUGCUGCAUGGUCUUGUCGAUUUUCUUCGUUCACAUCACACCACUAAACAGAGGGAGGUCAUGCUCUGGAAAUACAAUCUGCUGGCAGGAAAAGUUGACAUGAAUGAUCCCCUUCAAGCCCUCAUCAAAGCCAGGAAAGCUAUUGAAAAUGAUUUCUCUGAUCUCUGCCCAGAAAAUGGGAAUAGUCAGCCUCAGUCUUCCACUGCACAAUCUUCUACCCAGAGCUCUGUUGAAAAUCACCCAGGUCCUUCUACCCAACCAACACAAGACAGCGUCCAAUCAGCUACCCAACCAACACAAGAAAGCGUCCAAUCAGAUACACAAAUUAACUCAAAAUCUAGUUCUUCUGAGAAAGAGCCUGGCAGCUUACAGACUGCAAAAAAACGUAACUUGGGAAAAGAAAGAACAAAAGCCUCUAAAACUCCCUGUCCCAGGAAACCCACUUUGUUUACUAUGAAUCCCCUGUGUAUUCCUGUAGAUUUGAUCAAAAUGACUCCCAUUAUGAGGGUUCCACAAGGACAGUUGAAUCGUCUAGUACCACCUCCUUUACCAAACACGCAGAGAAAAGUUACAGAUCCGAUGAUGCCACAGGUACACACUACAAACAUUAGUCCACACCCCAAGCUUCCUGUGAGGAGGCAGCAACAGUUGCACCCCGCCUAUGCAUGCGUCAAGUCCAGGAGUGGUGCCGGAGCAACGAGGUGUAUAUUUGUGAGCUCCACCCAGAUCAAGUGAUUGUUAAUCCUAAAGCCCGAAAAAUGAAAGAGAAAACCAAAAAAUCAUUUCCACCAAAAGAUCAACUACAGAGUUAGAGGAUCCAAAUCCAGGUGUGACUUGGAAUCGGUUGAAUUAGAAGGGCUGCAAUACACAUCAUUUUGAGUUUUAUGUUCCUGUGUUUCUGGCCCCAAAUAUUAAUGUAUAUUGAAGUUUAUCUGUGAGUAACAUGAACUGGAAAUUAAAACUGAGUUAAUG